rnacentral:rRNA from 1 species
GACGAACGCUGGCGGCGUGCCUAAUACAUGCAAGUUGAGCGCUGAAGGUUGGUCCUUGUACCAACUGGAUGAGCAGCGAACGGGUGAGUAACGCGUGGGGAAUCUGCCUUUGAGCGGGGGACAACAUUUGGAAACGAAUGCUAAUACCGCAUAAAAACUUUAAACACAAGUUUUAAGUUUGAAAGAUGCAAUUGCAUCACUCAAAGAUGAUCCCGCGUUGUAUUAGCUAGUUGGUGAGGUAAAGGCUCACCAAGGCGAUGAUACAUAGCCGACCUGAGAGGGGGAUCGGCCACAUUUGGACUGAGACACGGCCCAAACUCCUACGGGAGGCAGCCGUAGGGAAUCUUCGGCAAUGGACGAAAGUCUGACCGAGCAACGCCGCGUGAGUGGAGAAGGUUUUCGGGUCGUAAAACUCUGUUGGUAGAGAAGAACGUUGGUGAGAGUGGAAAGCUCAUCAAGUGACGGUAACUACCCAGAAAGGGACGGCUAACUACGUG